rnacentral:misc_RNA from 1 species
AACAAACAAACCCCAAAAAGCACCGAUCGCACCAAAGCAAUCGGUAAGCAAACCAAGAUCUUUAGCGACUCAUAAGCUCCUUCAAUAUUGGGCGUAUUGUUCCGGAAUGGAUCAAUCGUGGACGGUGCGUGCACGGUCAGCCCAUCUGACCCGAGAAACUCGAACGGGUUGCGAUAAUUCUGGUUUAGGUGUGAAAUGUGAUUGUUGUUAUUGCUGCUGUUGUGGUGGUGAUUAUGAGAUAGGGUUGAAGAGGAUCGUUGACCGGAGUCGUUAUCGCGAACUGUAAGGACAAGAUGGGGUUGAUCGGAGGGUUGAGGCGGGAUAAGCGGGGAGGAGAGAUCAUAGUCCGCCAUUGACAUAGUUUGAAUGGAAGGUAAAGAGGAGGAUCAGGGGAUAUGGUAAAGAGAAGGGAAGAAUGCUUUUCCACUAUUUUCGGGAGGCAGUGGAGCCACACAGCAAGGGGCAAGGAGCGCUGCUGUAAUGGAUAUUUAAUAUUUUGGCCACGUGCUUUCAAUCCUGUCCACUUCAUUUAAAUAGUCUCCCAUUUUCUGUUUUUGUUUUCCAUUUCUUCAAAUUGAUACCUUAUUUAAAAUUAAAAAAAUAAAACAAAUUUAGAAUUGCCAGAAUAUUAGCGAAAAAAUGAGGUCGGCAGCAGAAAGAAAAGCCGCUUAAUGGGAGUCAUUUCAGAUAAAACGACUAACAAGCAAGGACCCCAUCAAGUUUCGGUCGGAGGGCGUGCGCUACGCGUGGUACUCAUCAUGACCACAGCUACAAUGACACCCAGACACUAACACUAUAUUUGAAUAAAUUUUAGGAGAGAGAAUGAAAAUAAAAGAAGAAAUAUAUUUUUUACUUUUUUUUAUAUUUAAAUGAGUAAAAAAUAGAAUAAAAAUUAAU